rnacentral:rRNA from 1 species
CGGGGACCCGCACAAGCGGUGGAUGAUGUGGAUUAAUUCGAUGCAACGCGAAAAACCUUACCUACCCUUUGACAUGCCAGGAACUUGCCAGAGAUGGCUUGGUGCCCGAAAGGGAGCCUGGACACAGGUGCUGCAUGGCUGUCGUCAGCUCGUGUCGUGAGAUGUUGGGUUAAGUCCCGCAACGAGCGCAACCCUUGUCAUUAGUUGCCAUCAUUCAGUUGGGCACUCUAAUGAGACUGCCGGUGACAAACCGGAGGAAGGGUGGGGAUGACGUCAAGUCCUCAUGGCCCUUAUGGGUAGGGCUUCACACGUCAUACAAUGGUCGGUACAGAGGGUUGCCAAGCCGCGAGGUGGAGCCAAUCCCAGAAAGCCGGUCUCAGUUCGGAUUGGGGUCUGCAACUCGACCCCAUGAAGUCGGAGUCGCUAGUAAUCGCAGAUCAGCAACGCUGCGGUGAAUACGUUCCCGGGCCUU